GCUUGCUCCUUUGACGUUAGCGGCGGACGGGUGAGUAACACGUGGGCAACCUACCCUAUAGUUUGGGAUAACUCCGGGAAACCGGGGCUAAUACCGAAUAACUUGUUGUCUCUCAUGAGACAAUUCUAAAAGACGGUUUCGGCUGUCGCUAUAGGAUGGGCCCGCGGCGCAUUAGCUAGUUGGUGAGGUAACGGCUCACCAAGGCGACGAUGCGUAGCCGACCUGAGAGGGUGAUCGGCCACACUGGGACUGAGACACGGCCCAGACUCCUACGGGAGGCAGCAGUAGGGAAUCUUCCACAAUGGGCGAAAGCCUGAUGGAGCAACGCCGCGUGAGUGAAGAAGGAUUUCGGUUCGUAAAACUCUGUUGUAAGGGAAGAACAAGUACAGUAGUAACUGGCUGUACCUUGACGGUACCUUAUUAGAAAGCCACGGCUAACUACGUGCCAGCAGCCGCGGUAAUACGUAGGUGGCAAGCGUUGUCCGGAAUUAUUGGGCGUAAAGCGCGCGCAGGUGGUUUCUUAAGUCUGAUGUGAAAGCCCACGGCUCAACCGUGGAGGGUCAUUGGAAACUGGGAGACUUGAGUGCAGAAGAGGAUAGUGGAAUUCCAAGUGUAGCGGUGAAAUGCGUAGAGAUUUGGAGGAACACCAGUGGCGAAGGCGACUAUCUGGUCUGUAACUGACACUG
rnacentral:rRNA from 1 species